UCUCUCUUUCUCAAAAAGACGAUUCCCCAAAUCGUUUAAGGUCAUUCGUUAAAUGAUUCUCCCAGAUCAGAAUUCAAUGUUUAGAUGUGGUAAUAUGUUUCAAUUCGUCCACAAAUAGCCCCUUUUCUGAUAAAUACUCGCUUCAAUAUGUCUCCUAUUUCAAGUCGUUUCUGAUUCCUUUCAAAAUUUCGUUGAUUUCACUUAUUUAAGGCAUGUACAUGUGUGUAUUGGAUGGAUAUUAGUUUAAAGCACUGAUCUUAACAGUAAAUUUCAUUGAUUUUACUGAUUUAGCCAUUGAUUUAAGGCAUGCAUCUAUGUGUAUUGAAUAAAGAUCAAUUUACACCACUGAUUUUAGCUGUCGAUUCACUGGUUUUAUGUCAAUUUCACCGUUUUUGCAUUCAAUCUUACUAAUUCAGCCAUCGAUUUUAUUGGUUUAGCUGUCAGCUACUAUUUUCUAUUUGCUAGGGUUCAUGCAUGUAUGAGAGUGCAUCGAAAUUGAAACUAGCAUGGCAGACUAACCUCCAUUGUUGGUUGUCCUCAAACAGAAGAUUCAGAGAAGAAGAAAUUGGGAAAAUUUUGUAUAUAUUAUUUUUUAUCCACUAAUUUCAGUACAUAUAUACACAUAUAUAGAAAACAAAGCUAAUGACAACUAAUUACCAAAAGCUAAUUGCCAAACUACCCUUUUGUAACUAACCAACUAAUCUCAACUAAUUAACAGAUAAAUACAAUGCACCAAUAUACUACAAUUGUAUAAUCUCAAUACCCCCCUCCCCCCAAAGUUGGAC
rnacentral:lncRNA from 1 species